CAAAAAGGGGCUCUCUCAAUUUAGCCCUAAUUCACGCAAAAUCAGUCAAUUUCAAGGCAAAGAUCAAGAUUUAACUUAAACCAAGCUGAAAUAGUGAUCACUCAAGUUAGAGUAUCACAAGGCAAGUUGAUUGAAUCUUCAAGCGGACAAGUCGGAGCGGACGCGUGCUUGAAGGAAAAGCUUUGAAGGUGAAUGUUGUAAGCAUCCGGAUGAAAAUCAAGCAAUGAACAAGAACCGAACACAUGUCCAAAUAAAGCUUCCGCAUUGAUCUUAUUUUAUUUCCUUUAA